AGAUCCCCGUGUAUUCGUGGGGAUAACGGUUGGUCAUCCGUGGCUUUCUAGGAAGGUCCAGGAGUGGAGGAGCUGGUCCAAUUCUUUCCCUGUGUUCUUGCUUAAUACCCCUGGGAGUCUCCAUCCUUCAAGAUAGGGGCAACAUAAAUUUUGCAGUCGGGAAAAGAGACAAUGAAGAAAAGCAGAGGCUUUUGACAACGCAAAUGGAAACAGAAAUCUCCAGAAAGGCAUUUUUCCUUUUUGUGAGAACGAAACCUACAUGUGUUUUGGAAUAGUUAAUGUUCCCGGUCAGACCCACAGCACAGCACCCUCUGGUGCACACAUUGAGGAGAAGGAUUGAGACCACUGUGGGAUUUUGUUCAUUUGCUGUUCAACCGUUCCCAGAGAUGGAUUUUAAUGCUCAUUCAACAAUACAAGGAAAGCAUAAUGAUUGCAAAUCUA